rnacentral:rRNA from 1 species
UACGGGGGGGGCAAGCGUUGUUCGGAAUUACUGGGCGUAAAGGGCGCGUAGGCGGCCUGUUAAGUCGAACGUGAAAUCCCCGGGCUCAACCCGGGAACUGCGUCCGAUACUGGCAGGCUUGAAUCCGGGAGAGGGAUGCGGAAUUCCAGGUGUAGCGGUGAAAUGCGUAGGAUAUCUGGAGGAACACCGGUGGCGAAGGCGGCAUCCUGGACCGGCAUUGGACGCUGAGGCGCGGAAA